GAUGAACGCUGGCGGCGUGCUUAACACAUGCAAGUCGAACGGAAAGACCCUGCUUUUGUGGGGUGCUCGAGUGGCGAACGGGUGAGUAACACGUGAGUAUCCUGCCCUUGACUUUGGGAUAACUUCAGGAAACUGGGGCUAAUACAGGAUAGGAGCUCCUGCUGCAUGGUGGGGGUUGGAAAGUUUCGGCGGUUGGGGAUGGACUCGCGGCUUACCAGCUUGUUGGUGGGGUAGUGGCUUACCAAGCCUUUGACGGGUAGCCGGCCUGGGAGGGGGACCGGCGACAUUGGGACUGAGGGACGGCGCAGACUGGUACGGGAGGCAGCAGUGGGGAAUAUUGCACAAUGGGCGGGAGCCUGAUGCAGAAGCGCCGCGUGCGGGAAGACGGCCUUCGGGGUAUAAACCGCUUUCGCCUGUGACGAAGCGUGAUUGACGGUAAUGGGUAAAGAAGCACCGGCUAACUACGUG
rnacentral:rRNA from 1 species